GACGAACGCUGGCGGCGUGCUUAACACAUGCAAGUCGAACGGAAAGGCCCUGCUUUUGUGGGGUGCUCGAGUGGCGAACGGGUGAGUAACACGUGAGUAACCUGCCCUUGACUUUGGGAUAACUUCAGGAAACUGGGGCUAAUACCGGAUAGGAGCUCCUGCUGCAUGGUGGGGGUUGGAAAGUUUCGGCGGUUGGGGAUGGACUCGCGGCUUAUCAGCUUGUUGGUGGGGUAGUGGCUUACCAAGGCUUUGACGGGUAGCCGGCCUGAGAGGGUGACCGGCCACAUUGGGACUGAGAUACGGCCCAGACUCCUACGGGAGGCAGCAGUGGGGAAUAUUGCACAAUGGGCGGAAGCCUGAUGCAGCAACGCCGCGUGCGGGAUGACGGCCUUCGGGCUGUAAACCGCUUUCGCCUGUGACGAAGCGUGAGUGACGGUAAUGGGUAAAGAAGCACCGGCUAACUACG
rnacentral:rRNA from 1 species